GGUCAACAGAGUGCUGCUGCUGAUCUAGGCCUAGUGAUUCUUCCUGCCUGUCUUUAAAUGUAAAAGAUGCCUCUGCUGCACCUGUGACGUUUGCCGCCCGCCGUGCAAUGCCAGUGUGCACUGGGCAUCAAAAGCGCAGAUCAAUCAAUCAAUCAAUCAAUGUUUAUUUAUAUAGCCCUAAAUCACAAGUGUCUCAAAGGGCUGCACAAGCCACAACGACAUCCUCGGUAUAGCCCACAUAAGGGCAAGGAAAAACUCACCCCAGUGGGACGUCGAUGUGAAUGACUAUGAGAAACCUUGGAGAGGACCGCAUAUGUGGGUAACCCCCCCCCCUCUAGGGAGACCGAAUGCAAUGGAUGUCGAGUGGGUCUAACAUAAUAUUGUGAGAGUCCAGUCCAUAGUGGAUCCAGCAUAACAGUAAGAGUCCAGUCCAUAGUGGGGUCAGCAGGAAACCAUCCCGAGCGGAGACGGGUCAGCAGCGCAGAGAUGUUCCCAACCGAUAUACAGGCGAGCGGUCCACCCCGGGUCCCGACCCCGGACAGCCAGCACCCCAUCCAUGGCCACCGGAUCUGUGUGUCUCCCCACAAGGGAUAGGGGGGAGCAGAGGAGAAAAGAAAAGAAACGGCAGAUCAACUGGUCUAAAAAAGGGGGGCUAUUCAAAGGCUAGAGUAUACAAAUGAGUUUUGAGAUGGGACUUAAAUGUUUCUACUGAGGUAGCAUCUCUAACUGUUACCGGGAGGGCAUUCCAUAGUGCUGGAGCCCGAAUAGAAAACGCUCUACAGCCCGCAGACUUUUUUUGGGCUCUGGGAAUCACUAAUAAGCUAAUAAGAUAGAGGCAAAACAAUGUCACAAAAAAGGACAUAUCCUUCAGGUGCAGAAAAAAGGAAGAAGAAGAAAGUGGAAGAGGAGAAAAAAUGCCAUGAUUAAGGUAUGUUUGCAUGACUUGGUAAUAAAAAGUUCUUCAAAGAGAUUUGUAGCUGUAAUUAGCUUUAGCUAGGUGACGUUAGCUAGCUAGCGCGGUGCUAGCAAUAUGUUUUUAGCAUCAGGUUACUAGUGAGAUAUGUUGUUUGCACAAAUUGUUUGCAGCAGAGCACGGUAAUUUAUGUGAGUAAAAUAAACAUUAUUUUUUACAUCAACUCAUAAGUCAUGUGAAACUUCCCCAGGAGCAUUGUUCAAAUACUUUGGAGGCACAGAAUCAGCCCAGAGCCAGUCCACAUCCUCAGGCUCAACUGUGAGUGAUGAAUCAGGUCCAUCUCAAUCCUCUACAGUGCUCUCUCACACACCUCCACCCUCUGUGCCCACUGUCCCCUCCAUGUCUGAAACCACAGCUGAUUUAUCUAUCAUUGUCUUUCUUUGGUCACUUCCUCGGCAACUUCCACCACAACGUCCCCUUCACACCAUGGACCAUCAUCAGCUCCGCCAGUUGACCCAGCUGAGUGGCCUUCUUUCCUCUCAGAUUCAGACAGGACUGAGCAGGUGAUCAGAGGACCACUGUCUAUUAAGGAGAACUUUUCAUUCCCCAAACGGCAUGAUGGCUGAAGUUUUCAUUAUCAUUAUACCUACAGACAGCUCGUCAAUGGGGAAAAAGUCAAGCGUAGCUGGCUGACUUAUUCAAGAAGUAAAGAUGCAGUCUAUUGCUUUUGCUGCAAAUUAUUUUCCAAAAAGUCCUUAAAACUGGCAGCCGAGGGACAGCGGGAUUGGGUCAACAUAGGUGCACUGCUGAAACAGCAUGAAAACAGUGAAGAUCAUUGUAGCAACAUGGUGAAAUGGAAGGAAUUUGCCUUGCGUCUUUCAAAGGGGAAAACUAUUGAUGAAUUUAACUUCAGUAGACUGUGCUCUCUUUGUACAAAGUAAACAUUAAAUAUGAACAAUUAACUAAAAAUACAAACUAGUAAUUAAAGACUAAUAUGUACAAGACUGAUGAGACAAGAUGACACUUUUACUGUAAAUACAAAGCUUUAUCACUUGGACUGUACAACCCCAGGCCACUCUUGUAGCUGAAUGUUUUCUACAUUUUAAGAUUAGGAACCAUAUGUGGCACUCUGGACAUCAUUCGUUCAUUCAUUGGUAUUAUUUAUGUUCUUAACUGGGCCACCCCCAUAUCUUUAUAAAUGACAUGUCAUUUGUAAAGACAUGCCAGGCUGACAAUAGGAUAAUGUAAACAACACUGCCAGAGCCGCAAUGAGUUUAUAGUAGGUGUGUGAAUGAUCAACAAUCAAUAUUAUUGGCAGAAAUAGAGGGCCCCAAAAUCAAAUUUUGCUUAGGGCCCCAUGGAGGCUUGGGCCGGCACUGGACACAAGUUAACCUCCAUACAUUUAAGGCACUUUUUACACGGCACAACCAAAAAGCUGUGAAAACGACGAUGCUGUGCUCCAAAUUUAAGUUAUUUACUGAAAUUGAGUGAGCCUAUGGCUUUGCACUUUGUUUAUUAUAUAUAUAUAUAUAUAUAUAUAUAUAUAU